CUCAUUAAAUCAGUUAUAGUUUAUUUGAUGGUCUCUUUUGUCUUUUUUUACCUACUUGGAUAACCGUGGUAAUUCUAGAGCUAAUACAUGCGCAAGGUCCCGAGCGCGGGGGGCAGGGCUUCACGGCCCUGUCCUCGCAUGCGCAGAGGGAUGUAUUUAUUAGGUUAAAAACCAGCGGCAGGGGUCAGCAAUGGCCCCUGCCAAACACUCCUGGUGAUUCAUAGUAACUCUUUCGGAUCGCAUUCAUG
rnacentral:rRNA from 1 species